rnacentral:lncRNA from 1 species
GAGUGGUCAAUCCCAUCUUGACACACGCACCGAUAAGUCAUGUACUUGACUACACCCAGCAUCCUUCCGUUAUUGAAUUAGAAAUUCAGGUAGUCCAAUGCCUAAGUGUAGUGAGUUGCUUGUAAGUCACCGUGACGGUCUCAGGUCGGAGGAACAAUUAUACCCAUAUCCCAUCAGAGCAAAUCUUGACAGUAGAAAUAGCUCUAGAGUCAGUCACGUUCAGUGCAGAUGUACCCUUACAUCUCACCUGUAUGCCAUACCAGUGUCUCCAC